rnacentral:lncRNA from 1 species
AGAAAUAAGAAGGAAGAAAGGAGUGAUGUGUCUCAAGCAAGUUCAAAAUCCAGCAAGACAAAUUCAUGAAAUCAUAAGGAGUUCCUCAGGAGCGAUCGCCUCUGCCUGGCUGUUGCCCUGUCUGGGAAUUGAGGAGCACCUCUGCCCAGCUGCCACCCCAUCUGGGAAGUGAGGAGCGCUUCUGCCCAGCUGCUGCCCCCAUCUGGGAUGUGAGGACCAGCUCUGCCUGGCCGCUGUCCUGUCUGGGAAGUGAGGAGCGCCUCUGCCUGGCUGCUGUGCAACCUUCCAAGUGUGAAGUGACAGCCUUGUGUGUGAUCUUUUCUGUCUUCCCCAAGUUUGCAUUUUUGACAUUAAAGUUUACUUUUUAAUUAAAAGUUUU